rnacentral:misc_RNA from 1 species
UCUCUCUCUCACAUACACACACACUCACACACACACAUAUUUAAUAGAUUCCUGUUGAUUUGUGUGCAUGCACUCACGUGGCUCCCCAAAACAUACACAAGGAUAAUUCUUCUAUUCCAAGAAAUUAUAAUACUUCAUGUGGAACACUUGUUCACAAAAUGCUCCUUUCCAAUAAUUCCCUACCUAUAAUUACAGAAGCAAAUGCUCCAAUAACAUGCUCAAGUAUUAUUGCUAUGAGAAAGCAAGAGCACAUAGGUGACUUGUCCCCUAAGUGUCACUGAAUCUUAGAAGAGGAAUUACAUAGUUAUGAUCCCACAGAAGGCUAUUGAUGGAAACUUGGAAACAAGGGUAUCCUUCUGCAAUGAUUUUAAACUUGACAUCUUUCCCACUAUAAAGAAAAUGCAUUAAGUCGGAGUUUAGGACCUCAGCCUACAAGCACUAUUUUGCAAGCUCAAAACUUUUAGCAUUAUACUACACAACGUCAUUAAUGUCAGUAGUCUACUAAAGAAGUGCUCUAGGCUAAUAGAUAAUGCCUGGUUCUGCUGCAGAUUGCUAGCCAAGAUAGGAAUUCAGAGAGAAGACUUUGUUGCCUGAUGUUGGCGCCUGUUUCUUGGAAUUUAAUCUUUAAUCUUGCUUCUUUAUUUCUUUUUUU